CAACCGCAGCAGCACCCAGCUCCAUCCUCACCCGCCUGGCCCGCGCCGCAGCUGGCGGGAACCUAGCGAUUCGGGCUGAGGAGGACAAGCGGAAGACACAGUGAAGGUGUCCCAGCCCCACCCCACCCCACGCCAUUGGCCGAAGCGCAAGAAGCAAAGAGUGGGCUAGACGCGCUGUUGCUGUUGCGCCGAGGGAACGAAGAAGGGAACAAGAGAGCGUGAUGGAGCGAUGCAGGCAGGUGUAGGACUGAACCCCCCCAAGUCCGCCGAGAGGACUUUGUCAGGGCCUGGGGCGGCUAGGGUGGCUUCAAGUGAUCGGAGGGCUCGGACCACUGCAGAUGCGGCGCGUGUGGGCGCGGCGAAAGCGCCCCCUUCUCCCAGGAUCUAAACGGAUAAACGGAAGCGCGUGUAAGUGUGGGGGUGCGAAUCGCCACCUCCGGCCUUGGCUUUCCCGCUUUUGCGAGCACCCCCACUUCUCACUUUCCCCAAAUCCGCAUUUUCCUUGGCACAGCCCUCCCGAACACCGAGGAGAGGGAGGUGCCGGGGGCAGUGAGAGUGACGUGUGUUGGUGCAGAGGGGGUGGAGGGCUGCGGGCCGGGCUCUGUGGACCGACUCCUAAUCCUCUUGUUUUCGGAACCGUCAGCAGAUGUGGCUUCUCUUAGCUGAAUAAUCCGUUAAGGGAAUGAUAAUUUUUAAAAAGGACCGCGGCCUCACCCCGCGAGGACAGUGAAGGAGAUCAGAGCUUGAUCUGCCUUUGGUUUGGACUGGCUGAAACACUGCGGACUGCAACCAAUGUCUUUUAAAGGAGAACAAAAAGAUGAGGCUCUUGUGCGGACUCGGGACAAAGCGUCUUGGGCUCGGUGACAAGGGACGCGCGGAACUCUGGCUCCCCGAUUGGAGAGAUCAACACAGCCCAAGGGCACCCCGCAGGGCUUGCGGACCUCUGAGGCGAGAGGACCGCAGCAGGAGAGUUCCGGAAGGCUGAUUCCCGUAGAUCCUGGUAGCGGCUGCUGCAGCUCAACCCUGCGGCACGCCCGGCCAGGCUGCACCAGGACUCUACACUCGAGGAAAAAGCUUGGAAACGAAAGGAUGCGGGAGAACAAAGAGCCUUUGGAGGACGUGGCUGUUAUCUCAUUGUCUGUGACUGGGGGAGCUGCGGUAGGAAGGAUGCGGUGGUCCUUAGCUCAUCGCUUUCCCCCACCCCACACCCUCCCCACUGUCAGUGCGCCCGCCACGCGCCGCCAGCUUUUUCUUUCUCAUUCCUCAUUUUCUCAUUCCACCUUCUUCCAUCCCCUCCCUUUCUUUCACCUUUCCUUCUUCCCUCCCUCCCUCCCGAGACCCCCCUUUCUCCCUUCUAUCCUCUCUCUUCCUCCUUCCCUCCCUCCCUUCUCUUUCCUUUCUCCCUUCCUUCCUUCCUUCCUUCCUUCCUUCCUUCCUUCCUUCCUUCCUUCCUUCCUCAGGAGAAAGGCCUCUCUCUCCGUGUUCACAGCGGACCUUGAUUUAAAUGUCCAUACAAUUAAGGCACGCGGUGAAUGCCAAGAAUGGGGCUGUCUGAGCACCUUGGGUCCUCGAGGGCCUGCCACAGAAGGAUCGACCCAGCCCAACGCUCUGGGCAGAACUCAGCGCUGCAGCUGCAGGCGCCACAGGAGGGGCAACGGGCUGCUGAAAGCCUCGUACCGCAGCCUUUUAGGGUGGGGAUGUGUGCGGCUACCGACAAAGAGGGGCUUGUGCAGAUGCAAACAGAAUCUAGGAAAGAAACAACCCAUUCUGUGACGGAAAACACGGAUCGGUGCAAGCGGGUGGGAGUGGGAGAUGGUCUGGGAGCUGUUGGAGAGUGAAGAGUGCGCGUUAGCUUCUGGGACCCUGCCCAUUGUACAAGGUCAACAAGUUCCUCCGUAACUGUUUUUGUCCUGGGCUUUCAAUUUGCCCUUAGACAAAUACUAAUAAUCUGGUACCCAUGCGACUGGCAGACUGCCUCAGAGCCUGGACUGCAGCUACAUUGUGCUUUGCUUGGGGUUGGUAGGGUAUUCUUUGCGGGAAGCUGUUUGUCACACUUUGGUGGAGAGCUGUGAGCAUUUGACAAGCUUAAGCAGAUCUCCGGGAUGAAGGCAACCAGCAAAUUUGCUCAUGAACAGCGCACAGACUCCAUCAAAGCUGACAGCUAGCCCACGACUCCAAGGAGGGCCCCCCAGCCUUCUCAGGGCUCUGACUGAAGUUUCAGGCAGAGAUCCAGAGCUGCAGGAGAGGUGCAGUACCCCCAAAGGGCAGGCUACUCUGUUUGCUCUUAAAACCAGGACAGAAGGAAAAACAGCAUGUGCGCAGGUGGGGGGGGGGGGAGUCUGUUUUGAAGCUGGCGGUCCAGGAACAGAAAGGGUUAAGCCACCCUCAUCCCGAAGCACCUGCUUCCCAAAUCAGCCCCCAGCAGCAGCUGGUCCUGGAGACCCCCGACCCAGUUCCAUCUCCAUCUCAGUGUUCACCGCCAACCUGCAGUGGAUGGAUGGUGGCCUGGUGACCGACCUAACCUCAUUAAUUUCCAGGUGGAGAAGAUGGAGGAGGGGCAGGUCCCAGGCUCCCGCAGAGGGAGGGAAAGGAGGCCAAGGGCUGGCCUUCCCACCCAGGAAGCAGGCUGUAGCCCUUCCCCCUGCUGUCAUGCCAGAGGCCUGCCUUUGCAAGGCCAAGCCCAUAAAGGAUGUUUAGGAGUUUAAUCUGAUUCCUAACACAGUGAUCAGGAUCUAAAAGAGCAUCCAUUGAAGUUAAUGGAAGACUCUUUUCUCCAAAGCCCCUGCCUCCUCUAGUUUCGUAAAUUAGUAUUGGAGAGUAUCAUGGGUCAGCACCUCUCCGGUCUAGUUUCCUCAGGAGUACAUACUAUUUCUUGAGUAUAUACUCUGCGUCCGUCUUUGUGAUAACCUCAUCUUAACGGCUAAACUUCGUCACAGAAGGGAGUGUUAGAGUUAGCUGGGCUGAGGUUAAAUGCGCCACCCUCCACAUAGGCUUUCCCAGAACCUUCUCUGCUCUGCAGAAAUGAGCCACAGCCUGCUCACUCUUGCAGGAGGAUAGCUGCAGUGUACACAUCAUGGGGACUGACUGCAGGGGCUUCGCCGACUGAAUCCUCUAGAGAAAGCUGGGCUGUGAGGAAGGGAAAGCCUUAGCAAUGGCUGUCCUGAGAGAGGCCAUAGCCAUUGCCUUCAAAAUCUACCUCCCUUGAAAUGAGAUUUGACCCUGUCCUGGGACACCCCCGCCCUUUAUGGAUAUGUUGGAAGAGAGCAGCCAGCAUACUGUACCAUUUUGGGGGUGUACCCGUUCCUUUCCCCCUGCAUGCCCGAUGAGAUGUUAUUUUGCCUUCAAGCCUUGGCUUAAGCUGCUGAUGGCCCAACCCCCUGUACCGCAAAUGUCCCCAUUAGCAAUCCUCUGCUCAGUAAUUGCUUCCCCAUGAUUCCUUCAAAUGUCCCCUCGUCCUUCACUGAUACUUCAUCUUACAUAACCUCCAUAUGCCUCUCCAAGUAAGGUCCUUUUAGGUAGAAUCCCAAUGUGCUUUUUCUCUGAGAGCUCCAACCGCAGGCACAGGCACCUUCUUCUGUAAGGCCUGCCCGCGAUCUGCUCCAUAGGAUCUAUGCUAGGAGGGGUGUGUUUUUAAUUCAUUGCUUACGGAAACUCUCGUUCCAGAAAGCAUUAGUGUGCGGGAGUGUUCUGGACUGGCCACUCUGUGGAGUAGUGUGGGUAUGUGUCCACUAGGUCUCCUUCACAGGAAGGGUUUGUGGCGGGGGGUGGGGAGGAACUCUCGUGACAUUUUCAGCCCAGGUAUAAUUGCAAGCCCCCUUUUGUUUGCAACACGUGAAGAAUCAGAACCAAGGUCAGCCUGAGCUGCCUCCUACGUUUUCUGUCCUUUUAUGCCCAUCAGUAAUUACACAGAGAACCUGAAGCUUUUUGCGCUCUCAGGGCAUCUCUGAGUGCUCAAGACCACCUCCCCGCCUAUGUGAGCCUUCUCGUUACUUAUUAUGGCUAAAAGUGAGGAGAGAAAUCCGUGAUCUGACGGUAGGAUGAGGCUGGCAGUGUGAUGACUGAGCACACUUUCCUCGUCCCUUGGGUUUGUUCACACCCACUGUGGUCUUCAUCCCCAUGGGGUACAAGCUCUUGUGUGUCUGGAGGAGCCCAGUACUUGGAAUAGAUUUAGGAAUGUAUCAAAAAGGACUCAUGAUUAACAAUGUUUCUCUCCCCUGCCAGAGACAGCCCAGAUCUGUCUCAGUGGAAAAGAAUUGGUUCUUUAACAGAUGCGGUGAUAAAUUCUAUAAAUUUCUCCUGUGUGUGUCUUGUGGGGGGGUACACCAGAAACUUUUUAUCAGAUCAUUGACGUGUGGGGAGGGACAUGUCCCCAGUUAGCACAUCUCCAUGCACACGUAUGAAGUCAUAGACUUUCUCACACAACCAUAUCCAUCGCUAACAUGGAGGCACUUGACCGCAAAAGAAAGUGCGCCUAUCCACACGACCUGUACAAGGAAAUUUUCUCCCCUGCUAUUGAACUUACAUAACACCCACCCCCAUUCCAACCUAGAGUACCUUCUGGGGGCAGCUGCAGAAAUCCUGCCUGGGACAGAUGGAGCCUCUCCUUCCUCAGCUACUCUGUGGGUGGUUUUUGAGCCCAUGAGUCAACAUGGGCAGACUGUAGUGUGUGCUGGUGCUGUGUGUGUGUGUGUGUGUGUGUGUGUGUGUGUGUAUUUGAGGCUUGGCGGUCUGAUUCACACUGAUGAGGAUAUUAACAGCAAUGCUGAGAAUUAUGAUAACUAAUAAAGAUUUUUUUUUCCUUCAA